rnacentral:lncRNA from 1 species
UCGGGAGUUUGAGACCAGCCUGAUCAACAUGGAGAAACCCCAUCUCUACUAAAAAUACAAAAAUUAGCUGGGUGUGGUGGUGCAUGCUUGUAAUCCCAGCUACUUGGGAGGCUGAGGCAGGAGAAUUGCUUGAACCCAGGAAGCAGAGGUUGUGGUAAGCCAAGAUCGUGCCAUUGCACUCCAGCCUGGGCAACAAGAGUGAAACUCCAUCUCAGAAAAGAAAAGAAAAGCCAAGCCACUGCUUGGCUGGGCAUAGUGGUUUACACCUAUAAUCUCAGCACUUCGGAAGACUCAGGCAGAAGGCUCACUUGAGGUCAGGAGUUUGAGACCAGCUUGGGCAACAUAAUGAGACCCACUGCUUAACUAAAUCUUAACAAGAUGAAACUCUCCCCAAAGGCAAAGCAGUUUCUUGCAUUUUGCUGUAUCUCAUCCUAUGCUGCCUAAUAUAGUUUUUCUGCCUAGAUUAGGUGACCAAGUGAUAGAAAAUACAAAGAGAGUAACAAAAAAGAUACAUAGGAUUUGGGAUAAGGUCAGGAUUGUCACCCUCUGAGCUCAGAUCGUCUUUUUUUUUUUUUUUUUUUUUUUCAGUUGUUUGUUUUUUUUAAGGCCUUUCUCCAUUGUGGAAUUUUGAUGCUGAAAGAGGUUGGUGAUACCUUCAGGUGAAGGCUUUCGACAUUCACUGUAUUCAUAAGGCUUUUUUCCAGUGUGGCAGAUCUGCUUUUGAAAUCCAGCUCUAUCAUCACCUAAUUCUCUGACCCAAAGUCCUCCUAUUUCAAUACCUUGUGAAGCCCCAAAGAAAGCAGAGAAACAGGAUUCCUGGCUCCAAGUUGUUUCCUUCAUCCUCCAGAUGUAGAGGCUUGCAUUAUAGACUUCAGUCAUCCUGCUCGUCUUUUCAGAUUGCUCUACCCAGUGGCUGCCAGACCCUUGCUCUUACCCCCCACUCCCCUCCCCAGCCCAUGGGGAUUUCCAACAUAGUACUCACCCAGGGUUUUGCUUUUUAGUAUAAAUUUUAUAUUAUAUAUAAACAGUAUAUAUAUGCAC